AGAAGAAAAAGAUGGUGGGGGGAAGGAGUCAUGGCUGAGUACGGGACCCUCCUGCAAGACCUGACCAACAACAUCACCCUUGAAGAUCUAGAACAGCUCAAGUCGGCCUGCAAGGAAGACAUCCCCAGCGAAAAGAGUGAGGAGAUCACUACUGGCAGUGCCUGGUUUAGCUUCCUGGAGAGCCACAACAAGCUGGACAAAGACAACCUCUCCUACAUUGAGCAUAUCUUUGAGAUCUCCCGCCGUCCUGACCUACUCACUAUGGUGGUUGACUACAGAACCCGUGUGCUGAAGAUCUCUGAGGAGGAUGAGCUGGACACCAAGCUAACCCGUAUCCCCAGUGCCAAGAAGUACAAAGACAUUAUCCGGCAGCCCUCUGAGGAAGAGAUCAUCAAAUUGGCUCCCCCACCGAAGAAGGCCUGAGCAAGGGGGAGGAAGAGGAGGAAGGUUGGACCUUCAUCAGACCACUCCCUUCCCCCAUCCUCCAGGAGAGGGGGCAAGGGCAACCCACCAUCUACCCACUUACUAACCUGGUCCUAACCCCCUUAUUGUGCGCGUGUGUGUGCGUGUGCGCACGCUCUGGCUGUUUGUCUAUAUGUCUAGCUCAUCUAGUUCCUCUUCUUAAGGGGAUGGGGGUCAGGGGCUAGGGGAGGG
rnacentral:sRNA from 1 species